rnacentral:rRNA from 1 species
UACAGAGGUCUCAAGCGUUGUUCGGAUUCAUUGGGCGUAAGGGUGCGUAGGUGGCGCGCUAAGUCAGGUGUGAAAUCUCGGAGCUUAACUCCGAAACUGCAUUUGAUACUGGCGUGCUUGAGGACUGGAGAGGAGACUGGAAUUCACGGUGUAGCAGUGAAAUGCGUAGAUAUCGUGAGGAAGACCAGUGGCGAAGGCGGGUCUCUGGACAGUUCCUGACACUGAGGCACGAAGGCCAGGGGAGCAAACGGG